AAGCUCGUAGUUGAAUUUCGAAUGUGGCUGGGCGGUCCGCCUCACGGUGUGUACUGUCUGGCUGUGUUCUCUUUCUUGGUGAGCCGGCACGCCCUUUACUGGGUGUGUUGGGGAACCAGGACGUUUACCUUGAGAAAAUUAGAGUGUUCAAAGCAGGCCUACGCCCGAAUACAUUAGCAUGGCAUAAUAAAAUAGGACGUGCGGUUCCAUUUUGUUGGUUUCUAGAGCCGCAGUAAUGAUUAAUAGGGAUAGUUGG
rnacentral:rRNA from 1 species